AAUCUGUCCAUCAGCUGAGAGACAAACUGGAGGAUUUCUGCAAAGAGCAGCUCAAGAAGAUCUCAGACAAAGUCACAUUCACCAACAUUGUUCCCAGAACCAGGAACCACUUCCUACAAUAUUCCCAUCAGCUCUCUCUGGAUCUGAACACAGUGAAUCAACGCCUCCGUCUGUCUAAGAGCAACAGAGUGAUUACAUU